UAUAAAACUUAAAAUUCAAGGGUUUGCCCACACAUUGUUCGAUAAAAUGCCUACGAUUUCUAACAGCAUGUUACGAUGAUAUGCGGUUUCUUGCUGGUCAUAUUCCAUAUAUAUGUGGCUGUCUAAGCUGUGCACCGCACGCAGGUUAACCAUGAUGUGCUCCUUCACAGGACAAGCACCACACAUACAUUGAGGGAUUUGUCCAAUACACAGCAAAAAAGACACCCACCUGAGUGCAAGUGAUAUUCAGGCGCUGAUGCAGUAUUUUGCUGCAAAAAAUGCAGAAUUUCUGUCAAAGUCAACGUUUGAUGAGGAAGCUCUCUUUACAACAUUGCUUUUGGAUCGACAGUGGGUCCUGCCAUUUAGUCUCCAUUGUCAAUAAUUUGAUUGUUUUCUGUAUGAAAUACCAGCUGAACCAUUAUGGAUUGUUGUUCGCUCAAGUAAACCAGCAGGGGCAGACAAUCCUUCUGGGUUGUGCAUUCCUAUGUGAUGAAAAUCGAGAAACUUUUGUAUGGUCGUUUGAGUGGUGGAAGUCGGCCAUUGAAAAAGCACUUGACACGAUUCUUACUGAUCAUGAUCAAUGCAUCUCCAAAGUUGUUGCAAUUUCAAUUUCCAAAAACCCAACAUGUUUACUGCAUGUGGCAAAUCACCCGAAAGUUCCCAGUCCGGUUAGGUGCAAGUUGGGCAUGUGAUAUGCCGAUUUUCUACAAAGGUUCUACCAAGUUUACAAUCAAGAAACGAAGUUGGCUUUUGCGGCAGAGUGCUAUUGCCUCUUGAGUGAUUUUGUCCUUGAAGAUAAUGGACGGUUGAAUUGAAGUCGAUAUUUGACUCGUGCGAGCAGUGGGCACCUGCUUCUUUGCUGGAAUGACAACCAUCUAAUAUGGUGAAAUCAUUAACUCUUUCCUCAAUGGGUUCUUCAAUACUUCACUGACCUUGCAGGAAUUCCUGCGUCGAUAUGAGGAUGCGCUGGUGGCAUACAGGCUUGAGGAGGCAGAGGCAUCGACGAAACAGAACCAGUACAUGCCGACCUUUAAGACCUUUUCGCAGGAGCUGUCACAUGUGAUGGAAUAUGGGGUUUAUGUAGAAGUAGUUGGUGGAGGUUUAUAUCUUCUGUCACUAAUUGAAGGGUGGCAGUGCCGCAGUGGUCAGAUUGUGAGAUGGGGUACCAAUGAAGAACAAUCACUUGUAGCUGUCAGGGUUUCGAGUUUAGUGGAAUCUUACAUCAGCAGCAUGGGCUCUGUGCUCAAACAUUUAAACCAUUUUUCCAUCCUUGGCAAAUAUUAUGUGUAGCUGGACAAAGGCUUGGGUUGAAGGCCGGUUGGUUGGUUCAGCCUCGGUCCCCUAUUGCUGGCCCACUCAGUACUGCAGAAUGGCUCUCAUACCUUCCUUAGCAAGCAAGGCUAUCACGAAAGCUAUAUCAGAUGAAGAACUCUUCAUAGUGGCAGGAGAUCGACUUGUGAACCUGCACAAUACAAUCAUGGAACGCAAGAUGAAGUGGACCAAAGGACAUGGAAUCCCUGAAAGUAGGUAGGCCGAAGGAGAUGAGUCGAAGAAUACAAUGGAGACAAAACAAAACAAAAAAGAAAAAAGAAAAAAGGAAAAGAAUGCAAGGGAAGACUAGUGCAGGCAAAUAGUUCAGAUGGCACAAUUACUGAUUUACUGUAGUGAGUUAGCACUGAGAAGAAGAAGAGGAUCUUGGAGAUGAAAAUGAUUUGUAAAUUCUCAUUUGCAAGUAGCAAGGAAGCACAGGAUAAUGGUUGUUGGCAAUCAGUGCCUUGCAUAUGGUCUAUUACUGUUUACUGUUUAGUGUGCUUUGUCUACAACUAUUUGGGUGCCUCUUGUGCAUUCAUCAUACCCCAUCCAGUGGAUGCCUUGCAUCACAAAUGCAUUUUUUUCCGAAUGUGUCUUUUCCAAAUAGAUGAAUGCAAUUGGCGCCUUUCUUUCUUAUAUAUUUGUUUCCUUUUCCCUGUCUUUACAAAUGCAAUCUCUUGAUGCCUUAUUCAGAGCUCUAAGCAAGUUCGCCACUGGUACAUUUUACUAGUUAAUAUGGCAUAAUGCUUUAUUUAAAAGAAGAAGAAGAAGAAGAAGAAGAAGAAAGCGUCAAAGUGAUCUCUAAGCUUAAAAAAAUCAUUACACAUGACCCCUCUCUUCAUAUUAUUUUAAGUCUCUGCAGUUGUUUCUCCAGUGUGUCUAUAUCUGUCUUUCAAUCUUUUCUCCUAAACCCGCCUCAGAUUUUCUAAUGUUUUUUCCUUUUCUGUUUUUCAUUAUGAUUUUUUUUUUUUUUUUUUGGCAGUUGAUUUAUCACUUAUUGGUUUAGUGGGGAGUGGUGCAUGGGUCAUUACUAAGGCUUGCAACCCUUUGUAGCUCAAAAUGAGGAAUUUAUAUGAGUUUGUGUUGCAGAUCUUGAUUUACAUAUAAGAGUUGAAGACAUUGGGUGAAAUUUUAGCCGAUCGAUGACCAUAUCUCAAGCUAGACACAUUGGGCUGCCUCUGAUGAAUCUUGUCAGACUUAAAGCAGUACCCAUUUUACAGCAACUACAUUUGGAGGAAAGGCUGCUUCGGACCUCUUCAGAUAAUUGGUGUAUCAUAAAUGAUGGAACAAGUGCGCCCACCAUAGUCAUGGGGAUAUCUGGGAAGCCUUCUGAACUUAUUGAACUUGAACCUGUGCUAAGAGAUCGGGUUCCUGUUAUCAGAAGGUUUACUGGAGGAGGCACUGUUAUUGUUGAUGAUGGGACCGUUUUUGUCACUUUUAUCUGCAACAAAGAUGCUAUUCCUGGCUUACAAGCAUAUCCCCGACCAAUCAUGUCCUGGACCAGCAAGUUGUAUGGUGAAGUAUUCCAAGGGAUUGGUGAUUUUCACCUCCGUGAGAAUGAUUAUGUAUUUGGCAACUGCAAGUUCGGGGGGAAUGCUCAAUCCAUAACCAAAAACCGAUGGAUUCACCAUACAUCAUUUUUAUGGGAUUAUGAUGUCAGGAAUAUGGCAUACCUGAAACCACCCAUACGUGCUCCUAAGUACCGUUCGGCACGACACCAUGUUGAAUUUCUUCGUCCUAUGAAGGACUAUUUGCCAGCAAAGUCUACUUUCAUCGACAAGACAAUUGCUACUAUUGGAAGCCAUUUCUUAGUGAGACCUGUGUGGUUGGAAGCAAUCGGCACUCCAAAUUCAACAUACCCUCAAUCCACCAGGCUACUCACAAAGCAAGAAUUGGAGGCUUUUGUCAUCUCAGCUUCAUAACCACAGCAUUUUUCAACAAUCUGGAUUAUUAUCAACUGUUGGUCAGCAAUCCAUAGAAAAAAUGAAGUUUGUAAUUUUGGAUCAUAUCAUACUCUGUCUUGGCUUCAAAAUUCACCUGGAACAAACCCGGCAAUAAACCUACCAUCCAUUAAAUACCAAUCGUGCAAAGUGAAGGAAGCACCGCCAUCAGCAUCAUCAUAGCCUUCUCCCAGGUAUUUGGGGUUCUCAAACAGUGAACCAAGGUCAAUUACAUGCAUGCAUGGAUGCAUGCGCGCACGCCAGUGAAGAAAGAGCAAAGGAUGGUGAUAUGGGUCCAUACCUUGUGCAUUGGAACGACUCCUGGAUGGCUCAUAUCCAUCAUUUGACACUGAAUGGCACCGGAUGCAGCCUGCUCAUGUUUUUUUCUUAGUGAAUGAGAAGUCUUGGGAAUAUGUCAAUGUUUCUGAUAUAAUAAUAAAACUGUUUUUUUACGAGUACAA